rnacentral:pre_miRNA from 1 species
CACGUACUCCCUCCGUCCGGAAAUACUUGUCAUCAAAAUGAAUAAAAGGGGAUGUAUUUAGAUGUAUUUUAGUUUUAGAUACAUCCUUUUUUGUCCAUUUUGAUGACAAGUAUUUUCGGACGAAGGGAGUACAUG